UGUUUCGAUUAUAUUCGCCCAAUAAAAUUUUAGAAUCAUUAGGCUCUACUUCACUAGAAAGUGAUUGUACACAUAAACAUGUAGACUUUCACCCAGAUGUAGUGACCUAUGGCUAUAAACUUUAUCUACAAAUACGAACUUACACACAACACACUACUACACUACUAUAUAUAUAAUAGAACACUAAACACUAUUUAUGUAAAUGCCCAUUUUUAAGUUUGUAAAAUAAUAAUUUGUUUUUAUAAAAAAUCUGGCUAUGCCUAUAGUACUCUUAAAAUUAUGACUAAAAAUAUUAUGAACGUCGAGUCUCUAGAUUCAUCAUCUUUGUGUGUCUGAUAAACCCAGAGAAUGAAGAUAUAGAAUCUAUAUAGGCCCCCUAUUAUAUAGAAUCUAGCUCUAGUUGACUCUAGACUAGAUCUAGGAUAAUUUCAAAUCUAGAUCUUAACUUUUCUCUUAACUACCAAAGAAGUACACAAAGGAUGUUGAAAGGUACCCAAAGGGCUCUAAUUGCUACCAUUCAAUGUGUGGAAUCAAGUAUUUACCCAGAUACUGCUACAAUAUGCUCUUAUUGUUUUCAAAGGAGUUUUCACACAGUGCCAGAAGCUGUAUAAAUACAUUUAACAAUGUAUAUUUCAAGAAGAAAUGAUGCUUUCUUAUUUCUAAGAGUUUAUCAAUAGGAUGAAUGCUACAAAACUCACUUGUUAUGCCAGAAACUCUUCCUACGAAACUUCCAUACUAGAAUUUGUCCAGUGCCUGUGAUCCUCUGAGUUGAAGGAGAAUGUGCUCCAUAAUACCUACUAGGAGCUUACUGAUAGCUGGAAGUUCAUGAAUACUAUGUUGUCCUUGAUUUGAUGAUUCUGAAAACUACCAUUUCUGAAGACUUGAGCAUUAUUUCUAUAAUUUAAAAAAAUCUUUUCAGGAAAUAUUGUGUUUAUAAUAUUAAGAAAGUGAAGAUAAUAUUGUUCUUACUAAUAUUAUUGACUUAUUAAAAUAGAAAGCACAUCAUUACCAAUAUUCACUUGUCAAUAAAUGUUAGCAUUAUUCAAUUUUUAGUUACAUGUUCAAACUAUUAAAUUUUAUUAUUUAAAUUAUAGCAACUUUCUCUUUCAGUCCAGCUUAAGAUACAUUCCUGUAAAAAGUCUAUGAUAAUAAGUUAAUGUCGAUGUAGUAUUGUUCAGACACUUACAAGUUUAAUCAUCUAUACUUCACAAAAAAAAAAGUGUUUGAAUGGUUUUCAUUUGUUUGUACAUCAAAUAUGUAUUAAUAUAAUUAUCAUUUUUAGAUGAAACAUUAAAUACUGAAGAUGACCAUUUCAAUUUCUGAUGUAGGCCUAUUCUCAUUUCAUGAAAUAAACAGAAUAUUAUCUGAAAUUUCAUCCCUUCAUGGUAACUGUAACUGGCUUCAUAAAAAAAUGGAGUGAUGACUGGGUUGACUAUACAUUUUUGUAUAAAUAAUGCAUCAAUGAAUGUAGCUUAUACUGUUCUUUUCCUCAUCUUGAAAUGUGAGGACUGAUAAUUAGCUGUUGCAUGAUACUCUAAAUGACAAAUAUCUUCUACUCAUUACAAUAGCAUAUUUCCAUGCUGUUUGGCUAAGUGGAAGCAGAUAAAAUUUGUUCCUCUAUUAGCUGUAAAAUCUCGAAAUUCAUGAGCAGCUGAGAAAAAAAGAAAAGAAAUUCAAACUACUUUAGACAUGUUAUAAAUAUAUAUAUUUGCUAAUUAAAAAAUGUAAGACUACUUUAUGUUACAACAAUGGACAGCAUCUUUAAAGUUGAUUUCAAUGCAAUCACAAGAAAUAAUUUUUUCUCUACAAUUAGGCCUGCUUUAAUGAUUUUUUUUUAAUGUAAAUAAAUUUUAUGCAUAGGAUUAAAUAUAACAUGUACUUAA